CCUACGGGCGGCAGCAGUGAGGAAUAUUGGUCAAUGGGCGGAAGCCUGAACCAGCCAAGUAGCGUGCAGGAUGACGGCCCUACGGGUUGUAAACUGCUUUUAUACGGGAAUAACGCGCCUUACGUGUAGGGCUUUGCACGUACCGUAUGAAUAAGGACCGGCUAAUUCCGUUCCAGCAGCCGCGGUCAUACGGCAGGGCCGGGCGUUAUCCGGAUUUAUUGGGUGUAAAGGGAGCGUAGGCCGCAUGUCAAGCGUGCUGUGAAAUGGCCGGGCUCAACCCGGGCCUUGCAGCGCGAACUGGCGUGCUUGAGUCCGCGGAAGGCAGGCGGAAUUCGUCGUGUAGCGGUGAAAUGCUUAGAUAUGACGAAGAACCCCGAUUGCGAAGGCAGCUUGCUGCAGCGGAACUGACGCUGAUGCUCGAAAGUGUGGGUAUCAAACAGGAUUAGAUACCCUUGUAGUC
rnacentral:rRNA from 1 species